ACAAGUGCCUUCUGUCCUCUAUUCUUUAUUCCUUCUUGUAAUUCACAUGCUGCCUAGGGCCACACCCUUUUGAUGGUGAGUGGGGAGCUGGAAGGAGCCAGGCUCCUGAGGACUUCAUGGGGGCCACCUUGCUAUUCAUUCACAGGAUAAAUAAUAAUGCCACAACAUUUCACACCUGUGCUAACAAUGACCCAUCUGUGGACCUGACAGUCAGGGACUGCCCAUGCUUCACAGCCAAGGAGGGAUGGAGCCCAGCAAACUGCACCAGGACCUGCCACUGGCCUUCAUCUUUGUCUUUUUUCCAGAUGAGCAAACUGAAGAAGUGAGAGGCUGAAGAACUUGUUAUUCAGCGUCACCCAGGUGACAUGUGAUGGCAUGGACAGGUGGCAUGAAAUAGUGCCCUAAAGCACGUCCUCUAGCACCAAACUACCUGAGUUCAAAUCCUGGCUCUCCUAUGUUCUAGCAGUAUGACCAAGGGCAAGAUAUUUAAUCCUUUUCUGCUUCAGUUUCCAUAGAUGAAAGACUGAGAAAUAAAUAAAAUAAUUAUUUAAAGAACUUAGAACAGUAUCCGGAACAUAGCAAACAUUUAAUCCUUAAACAUAAUGCUAGUAUUAUUGUUAUUAUUACAGAGACUACAUAAAAAUACAUCAUUAUAAAUUACAAAUAUAAAUGCAAACUGAACUGAAUAAUGCAAUAAAGGAAUUACUAUGGCCAUGGCCAAAUUGAGCUUAACUGAGGAAUACAAGGAUGUUUUGUCACUUUAAUAUAUCCAGUAAGAAAAAAAUAUGUAAAUAUAUAAUGCAAUCAUCUCAACAGACCUGUAACACUAUUUCUAAAGCAAAUAACAAAACUUAGACAACCAAGAACACCAAAUGUUUCCUAAACAUAAUAAAGAUUAUCAAUAUUAAAUAAGCAGCCAACAUCAUAUCCAUGCUAAAUUACCUGGAACCGAGGGGAGGGUCUCAAUCUCUGAACAUAAGCAUCACCUGGGGAGCUUUUUAAAAUUACUGAUGUUUGAGACCUACUCCAGACCCAUUCAAUCAGAAAUUGAGGGGGUUGGGACUCUGGCAACAAAAUAGGAAUGACUAACCUAGAAGAAAGCUAAUUAAAAUCAAGAACUAAGUAGGAUGCGUACCAUGACAACUUUUAUGUAACAUUAUUUUGGAAGUUCUCGUGCAUACACCAAAAUAUGAAAUAAAUAAGACAUUGAAAUUCUGACCAGGAGGAGAAAAAAAAAAUCAUUUGUAUCCAGUGUGAUUAUGUACUUGGGAAAUGCCAGUAAAAUAGACUGAAAAACUUGGAAAAAUUUUUAAGAUAAUUUACUCAUCUAUAAAGAUAGCUUUCCAGUGUAUCAACGAUACAAGUUAGAAGAUAUAAUGAUAAAUAUUUCAUUUAGAUUAACAAAAAGAACCUAGAAGUAACCAAAAAUAUGUGGAACUUAGAUAAAGGUUACAGUAAAACUUAGUUUUAAGAAUUUAUCUUGGGUCUGUGGUUUUCAAACUGUGCUUUUGGGAGUCCCAGGACAAAGGUGAGCUGAUGUGCAAUGACAAAUGGAUCUAAGAGGACCACAGAACCACUACCCCUGCUUUAAUGGAAGCAGCUCUGUUUGUCUUUUUUUCAGUGUUGACCUUCUGCAUACAAUUGUACUUAAAGGAAGGUUUGGGCUACUAACAACAACUUAAUGUUUUUUUUUGUUUUUGUUUUUGUUUUUUUUGUUUUUUUUGAGACGGAGUCUUUCUCUGUUGCCCAGGCUG